UACAGAGGGUGCAAGCGUUGUUCGGAAUUACUGGGCGUAAAGCGCGCGCAGGCGGGUCUGUAAGUCGGAAGUGAAAUUGCACUGCUCAACGGUGUAGCUGCUUCUGAUACUGCAGACCUUGAGACCGGUAGAGGUUGGUAGAAUUGCAGGUGUAGCGGUGGAAUGCGUAGAGAUCGGGAAGAACACCCGUGGCGAAGGCGACGUGCUGGGCUGAACCUGACGCUGAGAUGCGAAAGUGUGGGGAGCAAACGGG
rnacentral:rRNA from 1 species